rnacentral:rRNA from 1 species
UACGUAGGGUGCAAGCGUUGUCCGGAAUUAUUGGGCGUAAAGAGCUCGUAGGCGGUCUGUCGCGUCGGAUGUGAAAAUUCAGGGCUCAACCCUGGACCUGCAUUCGAUACGGGCAGACUAGAGUUCGGCAGGGGAGACUGGAAUUCCUGGUGUAGCGGUGAAAUGCGCAGAUAUCAGGAGGAACACCGGUGGCGAAGGCGGGUCUCUGGGCCGAUACUGACGCUGAGGAGCGAAAGCGUGGGGAGCGAACAGG